rnacentral:rRNA from 1 species
AGACUCCUACGGGAGGCAGCAGUAGGGAAUUUUCGGCAAUGGGCGAAAGCCUGACCGAGCAAUGCCGCGUGAAUGAAGAAAUUCUUCGGAAUGUAAAAUUCUGUGGUGAGGGAAGAAAGGUAUUAGAAGGAAAUGGCUAAUAUUUGACGGUACCUUACUAGAAAGCCCCGGCUAACUAUGUGCCAGCAGCCGCGGUAAUACAUAGGGGGCAAGCGUUAUCCGGAAUUAUUGGGCGUAAAGCGUGCGUAGGCGGCCACUUAAGUCUGUCGUGAAAGCCCACAGCUUAACUGUGGAGGGUCGAUGGAAACUGAGAGGCUUGAAUCUAGGAGAGGUAAGUGGAAUUCCAUGUGUAGCGGUAAAAUGCUUAGAUAUAUGGAGGAACACCAGUGGCGAAGGCGGCUUACUGGUCUAGAAUUGACGCUGAUGCACGAAAGCGUGGGUAGCAAACAGGAUUAGAUACCCUGGUAGUCCACGCCGUAAACGAUGAGCACUAAGUGUCGGACGUAAGUUCGGUGCUGAAGUUAACGCAUUAAGUGCUCCGCCUGGGGAGUACGGUCGCAAGACUGAAACUCAAAGGAAUUGACGGGGACUCGCACAAGCGGUGGAGCAUGUGGUUUAAUUCGACGCAACGCGAAAAACCUUACCAGGCCUUGACAUACCGAUGACGUCUUUAGAGAUAGAGAGUUACCUUCGGGUACAUCGGAUACAGGUGGUGCAUGGUUGUCGUCAGCUCGUGUCGUGAGAUGUUGGGUUAAGUCCCGCAACGAGCGCAACCCUUAUCAUUAGUUGCUAACAGUCAGAUGAGCACUCUAAUGAGACUGCCAGCGAAAAGUUGGAGGAAGGUGGGGAUGACGUCAAAUCAUCAUGCCCCUUAUGGCCUGGGCUACACACGUGCUACAAUGGCUGGUACAAAGAGGAGCAAAGCUGUGAAGUGGAGCAAAUCUCAAAAAGCCAGUCUCAGUUCGGAUUGUAGUCUGCAACUCGACUACAUGAAGUUGGAAUCGCUAGUAAUCGUAAAUCAGCAUGUUACGGUGAAUACGUUCUCGAGUCUUGUACACACCGCCCGUCACACCAUGAGAGUUUGUAAUACCCGAAGCCGGUGGCUUAACCGCAAGGAGAGAGCCGUCUAAGGUAGGACAGAUGAUUGGGGUGAAGUCGUAACAAGGUAUCCCUACGAGAACGUGGGGAUG